rnacentral:rRNA from 1 species
UACGUAGGGGGGCUAGCGUUGUCCGGAAUCAUUGGGCGUAAAGCGCGUGUAGGCGGUCCGGUAAGUCCGCUGUGAAAGUCGGGGGCUCAACCCUCGAAUGCCGGUGGAUACUGUCGGGCUAGAGUGCGGAAGAGGCGAGUGGAAUUCCUGGUGUAGCGGUGAAAUGCGCAGAUAUCAGGAGGAACACCUAUUGCGAAGGCAGCUCGCUGGGACGUAACUGACGCUGAGGAGCGAAAGCGUGGGGAGCGAACAGG